CUGGAAGGGACCAAAGUCUGGCUGCAGGAAGAGCACAGGAGAGAAGAGAGAGGCAUCUGCACAAGCCAUGACACUGCAAGAGUUUUCUGCUGAGGACUGAAUUCCCCGGUGGCAGAACCAAGCUGCACAAUCAGCUGAUGAACCUCCGCUUUGCUCCGGAUCUCUUCUUCCGCGCUGGCGCCGCACAACGACGCGACGGGAGAGAUGGGCGCCCACGCCGGGUGCGCGGGAGGACGCGCCGCGGC